GAUGAACGCUGGCGGCGUGCCUAAUACAUGCAAGUCGAGCGAACAGAUGAGGAGCUUGCUCCUCUGACGUUAGCGGCGGACGGGUGAGUAACACGUGGAUAACCUACCUAUAAGACUGGGAUAACUUCGGGAAACCGGAGCUAAUACCGGAUAAUAUAUUGAACCGCAUGGUUCAAUAGUGAAAGACGGUUUUGCUGUCACUUAUAGAUGGAUCCGCGCCGCAUUAGCUAGUUGGUAAGGUAACGGCUUACCAAGGCAACGAUGCGUAGGCGACCUGAGAGGGUGAUCGGCCACCCUGGAACUUAGCCACGGUCCAGACUCCUACGGGAGGCAGCAGUAGGGAAUCUUCCGCAAUGGGCGAAAGCCUGACGGAGCAACGCCGCGUGAGUGAUGAAGGUCUUCGGAUCGUAAAACUCUGUUACUAGGGAAGAACAAAUGUGUAAGUAACUAUGCACGUCUUGACGGUACCUAAUCAGAAAGCCACGGCUAACUACGUG
rnacentral:rRNA from 1 species